UACGUGGGGGGGCAAGCGUUGUCCGGAAUCAUUGGGCGUAAAGAGCGUGUAGGCGGCCCGAUAAGUCCGCUGUGAAAGUCCAGGGCUCAACCCUGGGAUGCCGGUGGAUACUGUCGGGCUCGAGUCCGGAAGAGGAGUGUGGAAUUCCUGGUGUAGCGGUGAAAUGCGCAGAUAUCAGGAGGAACACCAAUGGCGAAGGCAGCACUCUGGGACGUGACUGACGCUGAGACGCGAAAGCGUGGGGGAGCAAACAGG
rnacentral:rRNA from 1 species